rnacentral:rRNA from 1 species
ACGUAGGGGGCGAGCGUUGUCCGGAAUUACUGGGCGUAAAGGGUGCGCAGGCGGUUUUUUAAGUCAGAUGUGAAAUACCCGGGCUUAACCUGGGGGGUGCAUUUGAAACUGGAAGACUUGAGUGCAGGAGAGGAAAGUGGAAUUCCUAGUGUAGCGGUGAAAUGCGUAGAUAUUAGGAGGAACACCAGUGGCGAAGGCGACUUUCUGGACUGUAACUGACGCUGAGGCACGAAAGCGUGGGGAGCAAACAG